rnacentral:rRNA from 1 species
GAUGAACGCUGGCGGCGUGCCUAAUACAUGCAAGUCGAACGGUAACAGGCUUUCACAAUAUUCUUCUCUCAUCUGAUACGUCAGAUGUUUUUAGAGGAGAAUGAUUGUGAAAGUGCUGACGAGUGGCGGACGGCUGAGUAACGCGUGGGAACGUGCCCCAAAGUGAGGGAUAAGCUCUGGAAACAGAGUCUAAUACCGCAUAUGGUCUUCGGAUUAAAGUAUUUAUACGCUUUGGGAGCGGCCCGCGUUUGAUUAGAUAGUUGGUGAGGUAAAGGCUCACCAAGUCGACGAUCAAUAGCUGGUCUGAGAGGAUGAUCAGCCAGACUGGAACUGAGACACGGUCCAGACUCCUACGGGAGGCAGCAGUAAGGAAUCUUCCACAAUGGGGGCAACCCUGGUGGAGCAACGCCGCGUGAAGGAUGAAGGCCUUAGGGUCGUAAACUUCUUUUAUUGGUGAAGAAUAUGACGGUAACCAAUGAAUAAGGGUCGGCUAACUACGUGCCAGCAGCCGCGGUCAUACGUAGGACCCAAGCGUUAUCCGGAGUGACUGGGCGUAAAGAGUUGCGUAGGCGGCUUAUAAGUGGAUAGUGAAACCUGGUGGCUCAACCAUACAGACUAUUAUCCAAACUGUUAAGCUCGAGAAUGGUAGAGGUGGCUGGAAUUUCUAGUGUAGGAGUGAAAUCCGUAGAUAUUAGAAGGAACACCAAUGGCGUAGGCAGGCCACUGGACCAUUUCUGACGCUAAGGCACGAAAGCGUGGGGAGCGAACCGGAUUAGAUACCCGGGUAGUCCACGCCGUAAACGAUGGAUGCUAGCUGUGGGGGGUAUCGACCCCCUCCGUAGCGAAGCUAACGCGUUAAGCAUCCCGCCUGUGGAGUACGGCCGCAAGGCUAAAACAUAAAGGAAUUGACGGGGACCCGCACAAGCGGUGGAGCGUGUUCUUUAAUUCGAUGAUAAACGAAGAACCUUACCAGGGCUUGACAUCCCGAGAAUUUUGUCGAAAGACGAGAGUGCUUUAUUGAACUCGGUGACAGAUCUUGCAUGGCCGUCGUCAGCUCGUGUCGUGAGAUGUUUGGUUAAGUCCAUCAACGAGCGCAACCCUUGUGAUUAGUUGAAUUUUUCUAAUCAUACUGCCCCGGUAACGGGGAGGAAGGAGGGGAUGAUGUCAGGUCAGUAUUAGUCUUACGUCCUGGGCUAGAAACGCGCUACAAUGGCCAGUACAACGGGCAGCCAACCCGCAAGGGGGAGCAAAUCCCAUCAAAACUGGUCCCAGUUCGGAUAAGAGGCUGAAACUCGCCUCUUUGAAGUCGGAAUCGCUAGUAAUCGCAGAUCAGCAUGUUGCGGUGAAUACGUUCCCGGGUCU